UACGGGGGGUGCAAGCGUUGUUCGGAAUCAUUGGGCGUAAAGAGCGUGUAGGCGGCUUGGUAAGUCAGAUGUGAAAGCCCUGGGCUCAACCCGGGAAGUGCAUUUGAAACUGCCAGGCUCGAGUAGGGGAGAGGGAAGUGGAAUUCCUGGUGUAGAGGUGAAAUUCGUAGAUAUCAGGAGGAACACCGGUGGCGAAGGCGACUUCCUGGCCCUAUACUGACGCUGAGACGCGAGAGCGUGGGUAGCAAACAGGAUUAGAUACCCCGUGUAGUCC
rnacentral:rRNA from 1 species